UUAAACAAAUCUCCUAAGAUCCAAGGCUAC
rnacentral:piRNA from 1 species